CAACAAUCAAUCAAGUUUAAGUUUUUAUCACGUCAUAGUACAAUUUAUUCUUUUUCAUAUUCUUUAUUAAUGGGUGUUACGUUUGCGCCAAUUUCUUGUUCAUUAAGUAGAACAGUGUCCGGAAAUAAAAACAUGUACAUCUAGGUGUAACCGGUUCAUUGAUUGUUGUAAAAAUAGAUAUCAACCGGAAACAAACAUUGUGGUUUCGACUCUUAAAAGUCGGUAGCUAAAUGACGUACAUCUGUUCUUAAAGUUUAUUCGGUAAGGAAUAGAAUUCAAAAUGAAGCUGUUAAAACACAUAUAUAUUUACAGCAACGGGUCAUAAGUUUCAACUUUUGCUACGUGAAACAGUAAAAAAAGCUUUAAAAUAAUGGUGACAUGCAUACAAGAAACAGAAUUAGUGAUGAAUGCUGCAAAUUGUUUAAAAUUGGAGAGGAGUUGCACCGGCUAAAAAUCCGAAGAAAACCAGAUGACAUGAAAAUAUGUACUUCAGGAACGGAGGAAAUAACUCGAAAAAGAAGGAGAAUAACAUAGAAUACUGAUAAGUAAAACAUUUCUCAGAGAUGCUAGAUUGUAGGUGUUUUGUUUUCAUUUUUAGAAAGGCGCAAGUCAAACACUCCACUGUCUCUGUGUGAUACAGAACGGAAGAAAUGGCUCAGUGAAGAAGACAAUCUAAGAACUCUCUGAUGAUUAAUAUCAAAUUUUUAUAAUUAAAAUUUAGUUUUGUAAAUGAAAUACUUCAUACAUUUAGAUAUCAGUCUACUCUCUGCAUUAUUCCACCGGAAACUACAUGUAGCUAGAAAAAUAGAACCAUGCCACCGUUACAACAUCUCCCACCUGACACAUGUGCGUCAAAAACCUUCAUCAUUUGUUCCUUGAAAUACCAGACAAAAAAAGGGAUGAAGAGGAGGGGGCCUAUGAUUUAUGAAGUUUCAUGAGUAUUUAAUUUACAAAACUCAGUUUGAACUAUGAAAAUUUGAUUUUUGUUUCAUUAAAUACCUCACCUUCAUAAAUCAGAAAACUGAUUUUAUCGGAGCGAUGAAUCCCCCUCACUAGGAGAAGGUAACACAACCUAUUGAGCAGCAAGUAAAGGCCCUACAGAAUAGAGAUCGUCACAACAAAGAGGCAUGGAACGUCAAUAAUGGUUAUGUUAUAAAAGGCAUUAUCUGACCUAAAAAAAAAAAAAAAAGCUGACAUGAUUUCCGACAAGGAGGAGAUAUUAUAAAUGUUACAAACUGGUGCUAAGGCUCUUACUUCAUCUGUUCAUGUACUUUAACUUGAUGUUUAGCUACAACCUCAGAAGAAUCAGACUAUAUAAUUCAAAACUGUUCCAGAUACAAAUAAUUCUUAGUUUAAAAUGUAAAAAGCAAAUGAAGUUGUGCAAUUCCCAAUCCAAUAAUUAUCUCACAUGCUCAAACAAAUUAAAUUGAACUGUUUUUGUAUUUACAAGUUUAACUGUGUCAUCUGUUAUGUAAUGUGUUACUUUGUUAUCAUGUAUGCUAUCAACGCCAUUGGGGUAUACA